rnacentral:snRNA from 1 species
AGCUUUGCACAGUGGCAGUAUCGUAGCCAAUGAGGUUUAUCCGAGGCGCGAUUAUUGCUAAUUGUAGACACUGUCCCAUGAGGUUUCUAGCAUUCUUUUUCUUCUCCUGGGG